AUUGAUUAGAUCAAGACCAAAAUCAAUCAACAUGGUUCAUCAAUAAUAGAUUUCAAAGAUAUUAGACAUUAUUAGGAUAAUUGGUUCGAUAGACUGCAUAGAUAUUAAAGUGAUUUUGGAUCUCUUUAAAAAAAUCAUCUUAGGUUCAUACUAGGUCUAUAGAUCAGAUAGAGAGAGGAUAGAGAUAGAAACUUUAGAGUGAGAGACA
rnacentral:lncRNA from 1 species